AGGGUUUGAUCAUGGCUCAGGAUGAACGCUAGCGGCAGGCUUAACACAUGCAAGUCGAGGGGUAACAGGAAAGAGUUUACUUUUUUGCUGACGACCGGCGCACGGGUGCGUAACGCGUAUACAAUCUGCCUUUUGCUGAGGGAUAGCCCAGAGAAAUUUGGAUUAACACCUCAUGGUAUCAUUUAGAGGCCUCUUUAGAUGAUUAAAGGUUACGGCAAGAGAUGAGUAUGCGUCCUAUUAGUUAGUUGGUAAGGUAACGGCUUACCAAGACAGCGAUAGGUAGGGGCCCUGAGAGGGGGAUCCCCCACACUGGUACUGAGACACGGACCAGACUCCUACGGGAGGCAGCAGUGAGGAAUAUUGGACAAUGGGCGGAAGCCUGAUCCAGCCAUGCCGCGUGCAGGAAGACUGCCCUAUGGGUUGUAAACUGCUUUUAUACGGGAAGAAACCCAGAUACGUGUAUCUGGCUGACGGUACCGUAAGAAUAAGCAUCGGCUAACUCCGUGCCAGCAGCCGCGGUAAUACGGAGGAUGCAAGCGUUAUCCGGAAUCAUUGGGUUUAAAGGGUCCGUAGGUGGACAGAUAAGUCAGAGGUGAAAUCCCACGGCUCAACCGUGGAACUGCCUUUGAUACUGUUUGUCUUGAGUCGUUGUGAAGUGGUUGGAAUGAGUAGUGUAGCGGUGAAAUGCAUAGAUAUUACUCAGAACACCGAUUGCGAAGGCAGAUCACUAACAACGUACUGACACUGAGGGACGAAAGCGUGAGGAGCGAACAGGAUUAGAUACCCUG
rnacentral:rRNA from 1 species